GGCAGCACAUAUAUACCACCAUGGGAAUAAUACAGAGAAGGCUGGUGUGGCCUCUGUACCCAGAGGACGUUUAAAAUUAAGAAGUGAUCUGUUUUUU
rnacentral:snRNA from 1 species